GAUGAACGCUAGCGGCAGGCUUAACACAUGCAAGUCGAGGGGUAUGCUUCUUCGGAAGCAGAGACCGGCGCACGGGUGCGUAACGCGUAUGCAAUCUACCUUUUACAGAGGGAUAGCCCAGAGAAAUUUGGAUUAAUACCUCAUAGUAUUAUAGAAUGGCAUCAUUUUAUAAUUAAAGUCACAACGGUAAAGAUGAGCAUGCGUCCCAUUAGCUAGUUGGAAGGUAACGGCUUACCAAGGCUACGAUGGGUAGGGGUCCUGAGAGGGAGA
rnacentral:rRNA from 1 species